UAGGGAAUCUUCGGCAAUGGACGGAAGUCUGACCGAGCAACGCCGCGUGAGUGAAGAAGGUUUUCGGAUCGUAAAGCUCUGUUGUUAGAGAAGAACGUUGGUAGGAGUGGAAAAUCUACCAAGUGACGGUAACUAACCAGAAAGGGACGGCUAACUACGUGCCAGCAGCCGCGGUAAUACGUAGGUCCCGAGCGUUGUCCGGAUUUAUUGGGCGUAAAGCGAGCGCAGGCGGUUCUUUAAGUCUGAAGUUAAAGGCAGUGGCUUAACCAUUGUACGCUUUGGAAACUGGAGGACUUGAGUGCAGAAGGGGAGAGUGGAAUUCCAUGUGUAGCGGUGAAAUGCGUAGAUAUAUGGAGGAACACCGGUGGCGAAAGCGGCUCUCUGGUCUGUAACUGACGCUGAGGCUCGAAAGCGUGGGGAGCAAACAGGAUUAGAUACCCUGGUAGUCCACGCCGUAAACGAUGAGUGCUAGGUGUUAGGCCCUUUCCGGGGCUUAGUGCCGCAGCUAACGCAUUAAGCACUCCGCCUGGGGAGUACGAACCGCAAGGUUG
rnacentral:rRNA from 1 species